ACAGCAGUCGCCACGGUAAUACAGAGGGUGCGAGCGUUAAUCGGAUUUACUGGGCGUAAAGCGUGCGUAGGCGGCUUCUUAAGUCGGAUGUGAAAUCCCUGAGCUUAACUUAGGAAUUGCAUUCGAUACUGGGAAGCUAGAGUAUGGGAGAGGAUGGUAGAAUUCCAGGUGUAGCGGUGAAAUGCGUAGAGAUCUGGAGGAAUACCGAUGGCGAAGGCAGCCAUCUGGCCUAAUACUGACGCUGAGGUACAAAAGCAUGGGGAGCAAACAGGAUUAGAUACCCCAGUAGUCCCUGUCUCUUAUAC
rnacentral:rRNA from 1 species